rnacentral:piRNA from 1 species
UAGACUGUUUAGUCACUGCACCUUCUUUGA